AUUGAACGCUGGCGGCAUGCUUUACACAUGCAAGUCGAACGGUAACAGGGAGCUAGCUCCGCUGACGAGUGGCGAACGGGUGAGUAAUGCGUCGGAACGUGCCGAGUAGUGGGGGAUAACGCAUCGAAAGGUGUGCUAAUACCGCAUACGUACUGAGGUAGAAAGUGGGGGACCUUCGGGCCUCACGCUAUUCGAGCGGCCGACGUCUGAUUAGCGAGUUGGUGAGGUAAAGGCUCAACAAGGCGACGAUCAGUAGCGGGUCUGAGAGGAUGAUCCGCCACACUGGGACUGAGACACGGCCCAGACUCCUACGGGAGGCAGCAGUGGGGAAUUUUGGACAAUGGGCGCAAGCCUGAUCCAGCCAUGCCGCGUGUCUGAAGAAGGCCUUCGGGUUGUAAAGGACUUUUGUCCGGGAGCAAAUGCCUGGUGUUAAUAGCACUGGGAGCUGAGAGUACCGGAAGAAUAAGCACCGGCUAACUACGUGCCAGCCGCCGCAGUAACAC
rnacentral:rRNA from 1 species